rnacentral:lncRNA from 1 species
UAAGGGGGAGUACACCCCUAUUUAUAAAUAAAAUAUCUAGGGGUUUAUAAAAAUUUAAAUAAUAAUUCCAAAAUAAUUUUGAUAAUAAAAAUAAUAAUUAAAUUAAUUUGAUGGGAAAAUGAUCCAUAUGGUUUAAGAAUGAAAUCAGCAAUCAUGGGGCACUCUACCUUUAACUGUGGAUUACAGACCACACUUAUUUUAUUAGGCCGACCCAGUGUUUUUCAGGAUCUACAGUCCAAGCAUUGGCUCAUUAGCGGGUCACCAAAGUCUA